ACUAUGCAACACUGAUUGCGAGGUGGCUAACGAUGCAACAGAACUAUGGUGGUGGAUUUCACUCGACGCAGGACACAAUCAUUGCCUUGGAAGCUUCAUGACGAUGCGACAUUGCAUUUCUGAAGAGGGAAGAAGAAAUCAAUAUGCAAAUUCAAUUCCAUGUUUUUGGAAGUCCCAUUGAGAACACGAUUCAUUUGCGCCGGCAUAAUGCUCUGACUGAGAAAGAAUUGAAGUUUCCACUUGGAAGAAAGAUUCACAUCAAAUUGACUGGUCAAGGAAAUGGGACACUGACUGA